rnacentral:rRNA from 1 species
GAUGAACGCUAGCUACAGGCUUAACACAUGCAAGUCGAGGGGAAACGAUAUUGGAAGCUUGCUUCCGAUAGGCGUCGACCGGCGCACGGGUGAGUAACGCGUAUCCAACCUGCCCAUCACUUGGGGAUAACCUUGCGAAAGUAAGACUAAUACCCAAUGACGUCUCUAGAAGACAUCUGAAAGAGAUUAAAGAUUUAUCGGUGAUGGAUGGGGAUGCGUCUGAUUAGCUUGUUGGCGGGGUAACGGCCCACCAAGGCGACGAUCAGUAGGGGUUCUGAGAGGAAGGUCCCCCGCAUUGGAACUGAGACACGGUCCAAACUCCUACGGGAGGCAGCAGUGAGGAAUAUUGGUCAAUGGGCGAGAGCCUGAACCAGCCAAGUGGCGUGCAGGAUGACGGCCCUAUGGGUUGUAAACUGCUUUUAUAAGGGAAUAAAGUGAGCCACGUGUGGCUUUUUGCAUGUACCUUAUGAAUAAGGACCGGCUAAUUCCGUGCCAGCAGCCGCCGUAA